GCUGGGAUGGUCUAGUCGUUAAGGCGUCGCCCCGGACAGGCGAAGGUUGCGGGUUCAAUCCCCGUUCGUGACC
rnacentral:tRNA from 1 species